AGAUGAUCCUUUAUUUGCUAGUACGCAAAAAUGCCGUUAGUAGGCAGCACAUGCUACGCAUUGUUGUUACUGGCGGGUAAAAGAAUCGAUACCGAAAAUUUCGAUACAGAAGACUGUAAUUUAUACGUGUUUCUUAAUCCAUCCAAUUUUAAGAAAGCAGAAAUAUAUAUAAAUAGUUAAUACUGUUCCUGAAAAAUGUAGAAAUUAUCUUCGUGAUGAAAUGGAUUGGAUGGAUACAUUAGACCGCACCUGUAAAGGCGCGCCUCUUUUGAACCAGUUCACGGGACCAAUUACGCCCGCUGAGCAAACUUGUCCUAUCGUUGGUGAUUUUGUUCAACCGUUUUUGGCGAUGGCCACGUUUCCAAAUCCAUAUAGAUUUGUCAGUCAACAAUUUAUUCAUCUACUGUGUAAAUUCAACAUAUUAUGCUUAUAUGUCUAACUAAUUGCUUAUACAAGAAUUACUUGCUGUUCCACUAUCUCUUAAUUUCUGUUAUUGACAUUGGCAUGAUUGUUCGAUGCGAUUGUAAUAUUAUAGAUCAAUGCUUUUCUCCAAGGAUACUACGAUUGCGAGCUGUAUAUAGAGAACGAGAUUAACGUCAAGGAAAACCAGGAUAAUGAAAUUACGCGUGGAGAGAAGGCACAUGAGAAACUUUACAAGAUCAUUCAUCACUUCUAAGAUUUCCUUGGAAACGACAAUGAUAUUUAUGUUGAACGUAAGCAUGGAAUCUUAAUUGAUCUUUAUUUUUUGUUAAUUAGUUUUAAUAAGAUUCUUUAUAUUAUUUAUAACUUUUAUAAAUUAACUUUAUCUCUGUGAUCAGAUGAACGAAUCCAUGAUUAAAUUUUAAACAACGCAUUAAUCAUAGAAUUAUAAGCUUACAAAUUACUCUGUAAUUAGAUAUAAAAAAAUAUUUCCAUUUUAUGUUGUUUUUAUUGCUUAUUCUUUUUUUUUUUUUUUUUAAUUAUUAUUUCUUACAUCUUACGUAAGUGUAAUGUAAAAUUCUCUAACCACGAGUAUUGUUGUCGAACUACGCAGUGGUGCCAAUAGUACCUAUUACAAGUUUCACUGUUGAAUGUAAACAGAGCGCAUCGAUGCAAUAUUGAGACAUAAAAUAACGAUCAGCAACAACGUUAACCAUAAUUAUGAUAAUAAUUAUCUUGCGAUUGUUCUACAACGAUGAAAGUUAUCCAAUUCUUCGAAUUAAAGAAUUAAUUAAUAUUUUCACAUUUCCCAAAUAUAUGUAACUCUCUUUUUUCUUUUUUCUUCGUUCUUUCCUUUAAGCAAUCUUUUUUGGAACCGGACGAAGAAGGCGUAAGCACAGAUAUUAAGAUAUGAUUUUGAUUUUGUUCACGGAUGAAUCACUUCACACGCACGCGAUAUAAGGUAUUCACUUGGAACGUUGCAUUUGCAUAUUAACCCUCCCCCCAAUGCUAAAAAUAAACUUGUGAAAAUUCAAUUUAACGUUCAAAUAUAUUUUUCGAUAACAUCCUUUAGAAUCGUGUCCGUGAUCUGAUAUAAAUCAUCCGUCCAAUUAUAUAGAUCUUAUUAAUUAAUGACAGAUUU